rnacentral:sRNA from 1 species
AGCAGAAGCACGCACUUUCUUAAAAUGUCGCUGUUUGGAGACACAAUUGCCUACCUGCUUUCAUUGACAGAAGAUGGAGAAGGCAAAGCAGAACUAGCAGAAAAAUUACACUGUUGGUUUGGUGGGAAAGAAUUUGACCUAGACUCUGCCUUGGAAUGGAUAAAAAACAAAAGAUGCUUAACUGAUAUACAAAAAGCAAUAAUAAAAAUGGGUGAAACAGUUUUGGAGAUAGAAGAAUUGCAUUAAAUUCAAUUUUACUGUAUUUCUUACUAUGCAUUUAAGCAAAUUGUAAUCAAUGUCAGCAAAUAAACUGGAAAAAGUGCGUUGUUUCUACU